UUCUAUAUUCUUCUAUUGGAGAAUUUAUACAUAGAUGUAGUAAUUGCUAUUUUUUUAUGAAGUCCUUACUAUGUGGCAGGCACUGUGCUGACUGGUUUACGCAAACAUUCUUUACUAAUCUCACAACAAACCUGUGAUUGAUGGAAUUACUGUCCCUAUUUUACAGAUAUGGAGACCAGGACUUGGAGAGGCUAAGAAAUACCUUCAAGAUCAAAUAAGGACAGUGACAAGAUUCAUACCCAUCUGCCUGAGUCUUAAGCAUUUUGCUACUUUGAACCUAGGUCCAUCCUGCUCAUCUUUAGAGCCUCGCUGUUCUUUAUCCCCGGUAGCCAGCAGGGUACUGAGCCCUUGGAUCUCAGCCACAGACCUUGUGCUCCCAACCCAUGGGCUUCCCAGAGAGACCGCAGGUUGGCUGCCAACACCCUGAAGACAGCAAGGCUGCCCAGUCCCCCAAGGCCUGCCAAGGACAGAUUCUACCUGCAACGUGGACCCAGAGAGUCAUUCUCGAACAAAGGAACCCCAGAGGCCUGAACUUACUCAGAAUUGACUUCUGCGUCCUUCUAUUAUUGGGACUGACAUUUGAAGUAGGUUGAAGCCAUACAAUUUUGCUAUUUAGAGGAUUCAGCUUAAGGUAACGGUCAAGUUGAAUAAUUCAAGAUCAAAGGGUUUGGGGCUUCCCUGGCGGUACAACAGUUAAGAAUCCACCUGCCAGUGAAGAGGAAAUGAUUUUGAUCCCUGGCCCGGGAAGAUUCCACCUACCACCUGGCAACUAAGCCAAUGCGGAACAACCACUGAUUCUGAUGCUGCAGCUACUGGAGCCUGCGUGCCUACAGUGUGGUCUGCAGCAAGAAAAGCCACCGCAAGAGAAGCCCGUGCUCGGCAAUGAGGAGUAGCUUCUGCUCACUGCAACUAGAGAGAGCCUGCCUGUAGCAGUGAAGACCCAGUGCAACCAAAAAGAAAUAAACAAAUUUUUAAAAAAGAAAAACCA
rnacentral:lncRNA from 1 species